rnacentral:rRNA from 1 species
UACGGAGGAUGCAAGCGUUAUCCGGAAUUAUUGGGCGUAAAGCGUCCGUAGGUGGCAUUUCAAGUCUGCCGUUAAAGCCCGAAGCUUAACUUUGGAAAAGCGGUGGAAACUGAGAAGCUAGAGUGCGGUAGGGGUAGAGGGAAUUCCCAGUGUAGCGGUGAAAUGCGUAGAGAUUGGGAAGAACACCGGUGGCGAAAGCGCUCUACUGGGCCGCAACUGACACUGAUGGACGAAAGCUAGGGGAGCGAAAGGG